rnacentral:rRNA from 1 species
UACGUAGGGUGCAAGCGUUGUCCGGAAUUACUGGGCGUAAAGGGCUCGUAGGCGGCCAACUAAGUCAGACGUGAAAUCCCUCGGCUUAACCGGGGAACUGCGUCUGAUACUGGAUGGCUUGAGAUUGGGAGAGGGAUGCGGAAUUCCAGGUGUAGCGGUGAAAUGCGUAGAUAUCUGGAGGAACACCGGUGGCGAAGGCGGCAUCCUGGACCAAUAUUGACGCUGAGGAGCGAAAGCCAGGGGAGCAAACGGG